CCUACGGGGGGCUGCAGUGGGGAAUAUUGGACAAUGGGCGAAAGCCUGAUCCAGCCAUGCCGCGUGUGUGAAGAAGGCCUUCGGGUUGUAAAGCACUUUCAGUGGGGAAGAAAGCCUUGGGGCUAAUACCCUCGAGGAAGGACAUCACCCACAGAAGAAGCACCGGCUAACUCCGUGCCAGCAGCCGCGGUAAUACGGAGGGUGCGAGCGUUAAUCGGAAUUACUGGGCGUAAAGCGCGCGUAGGCGGUCUGAUAAGCCGGUUGUGAAAGCCCCGGGCUCAACCUGGGAACGGCAUCCGGAACUGUCAGGCUAGAGUGCAGGAGAGGAAGGUAGAAUUCCCGGUGUAGCGGUGAAAUGCGUAGAGAUCGGGAGGAAUACCAGUGGCGAAGGCGGCCGUCUGGACUGACACUGACGCUGAGGUGCGAAAGCGUGGGUAGCAAACAGGAUUAGAUACCCGGGUAGUC
rnacentral:rRNA from 1 species